rfam:Camelus ferus unplaced genomic scaffold scaffold1533, whole genome shotgun sequence.
GAGGGUAUAGCUCCGUGGUACAGUGCAUGUCUAGCAUGCACGAGGUCCUGGGUUCAAUUCCCGGUACCUCUG